CUACGGAGGGGGUUAGCGUUGUUCGGAAUUACUGGGCGUAAAGCGUACGUAGGCGGACUGGAAAGUUGGGGGUGAAAUCCCGGGGCUCAACCCCGGAACUGCCUCCAAAACUUCCAAUCUAGAGAUCGAGAGAGGUGAGUGGAAUUCCAAGUGUAGAGGUGAAAUUCGUAGAUAUUUGGAGGAACACCAGUGGCGAAGGCGGCUCACUGGCUCGAUACUGACGCUGAGGUACGAAAGCGUGGGGAGCAAACAGGAUUAGAUACCCUAGUAGUCC
rnacentral:rRNA from 1 species